ACGGGUGAGUAAAGCGUAGGAAUCUAGCUUAUUGAGUGGGAUAGCUUAGGGAAACUUAGGGUAAUACCGCAUAAGCCCGAGAGGGGAAAGCAGGGGACUGAAAGGCCUUGCGCGAUAAGAUGAGCCUACGUCGGAUUAGCUAGUUGGUGGGGUAAAGGCCUACCAAGGCGACGAUCCGUAGCUGGUCUGAGAGGACGACCAGCCACACUGGGACUGAGACACGGCCCAGACUCCUACGGGAGGCAGCAGUGGGGAAUAUUGGACAAUGGGCGCAAGCCUGAUCCAGCAAUGCCGCGUGUGUGAAGAAGGCUUUCGGGUUGUAAAGCACUUUCGGUGGGGAGAAAGGGCCUGUUCCUAAUAUGAGCAGGAGAUGAUGUUACCCACAGAAGAAGCACCGGCUAACUCUGUGCCAGCAGCCGCGGUAAUACAGAGGGUGCGAGCGUUAAUCGGAAUUACUGGGCGUAAAGGGUGCGUAGGUGGUUUUCUAAGUUGGGUGUGAAAGUCCUGGGCUUAACCUGGGGAUUGCGCUUAAUACUGGAGAGCUAGAGUACUGUAGAGGGAAGUGGAAUUUCCGGUGU
rnacentral:rRNA from 1 species